CCUGGUGUAUAUAUAAACAUUUUUUUAAAAAAUAAAAUAAUAUUUUUUAAAGUAAAAAGAUAAUUAUAAAAAAAGUGGUGGCGCCUAUGAGAAAAGUUCCAAAAAAAAUAUCAUUUUCGUAAUUAAUCUCACUGCCAACCUAUUUCAGAAAUUAUUCUUUUAAUAUUAUUUAGGUAAAUUAACCCUCAAACAACAAAAUCGACAAUCAUAUGCAGUGAGAUUAGAAAAACAAAAAAACAAAAAUCACAAAUAGAUCAAGCACACAACAGAAAAAUGCUCUAGAUCAGUACCCAAAGAAAAAUUAAAGAAGAACAAAACACUAGUUGG
rnacentral:lncRNA from 1 species